rnacentral:rRNA from 1 species
GACGAACGCUGGCGGCGUGCUUAACACAUGCAAGUCGAACGGAAAGGCCCUGCUUUUGUGGGGUGCUCGAGUGGCGAACGGGUGAGUAACACGUGAGUAGCCUGCCCUUGACUUUGGGAUAACUUCAGGAAACUGGGGCUAAUACCGGAUAGGAGCUCCUGCUGCAUGGUGGGGGUUGGAAAGUUUCGGCGGUUGGGGAUGGACUCGCGGCUUAUCAGCUUGUUGGUGGGGUAGUGGCUUACCAAGGCUUUGCCGGGUAGCCGGCCUGAGAGGGUGACCGGCCACAUUGGGACUGAGAUACGGCCCAGACUCCUACGGGAGGCAGCAGUGGGGAAUAUUGCACAAUGGGCGGAAGCCUGAUGCAGCAACGCCGCGUGCGGGAUGACGGCCUUCGGGUUGUAAACCGCUUUCGCCUGUGACGAAGCGUGAGUGACGGUAAUGGGUAAAGAAGCACCGGCUAACUACGUG